GCGUUGCUAGUGCAAUGGGUCAGCACGCGCUUCCGGAGAGAGUGAGAUCUGGGUUCGAGUCCCAGCUGGCGCA